rnacentral:lncRNA from 1 species
CUUUGAAGUCUCAACUACAUUUCCUUUUAGAUAGACUAGAAGGACUUAGGUAUAAUCUGCAAGAAAAUCCUAACUACUUCAUUUUAAUUUGAACAAAUUGAAGGUUUAUCCACUUAUGUCUUUUUCUGUAUUACUUGUGCUGCGGCAUGGAUAUCUGACUAAUUGACAUUUUCGAGGAUGGUAAAGGGGGUUCUUAACACGGAA